rnacentral:rRNA from 1 species
GAUGAACGCUGGCGGCGUGCCUAAUACAUGCAAGUCGAGCGAACAGACGAGGAGCUUGCUCCUCUGACGUUAGCGGCGGACGGGUGAGUAACACGUGGAUAACCUACCUAUAAGACUGGGAUAACUUCGGGAAACCGGAGCUAAUACCGGAUAAUAUAUUGAACCGCAUGGUUCAAUAGUUAAAGACGGUUUUGCUGUCACUUAUAGAUGGUUCCGCGCGGCAUUAGCUAGUUGGUAAGGUAACGGCUUACCAAGGCGAAGAUGCGUAGCCGACCUGAGAGGGGGAUCAGCCACACUGGAAAAGAGACACGGGCCAGAGUCUUACGGGAGGCAGAAGUGGGGAAUAUUGGACAAAGGGCGAAAGCCUGAGACAGCAAAACCGCGUGGGUGAAGAAGGGCUUCGGGUAGUAAAACCCUUUUUUUGGGAAAGAAAAAAAGUGUGUGAAAACCUAGACGUUUUGACGGGACCCAAAGAAAAAGCACCGGCUAAAUACGU